rnacentral:misc_RNA from 1 species
GAAGACCAAACUUACUACACUGUGGAAGAAAAGAGGGUGUGAAAAGGUAGUCAUGUGGACCAAUUCAAUUUCGAAUCAUCUGUAUUUCUGUGCUGCAACUAGUGAGGGAGACCGAGAUCUAGUUGAACAGAAAUGGUUGUCGGUUUUAAACCACAUUACAGACAAACAUAAAGGCCACGGUGAAAAGUUCCUUAGCUGUACAUUUGGGCUGAUUGAAAGAGACUGGAUUAAAGCAGGCUGCUGGCACGGUCUGUCACUGUUUGAAGCAAGUCAUCAGCCUGUUUUCCCAUCAGUAAAUCAACAGGUCUAAGGUCAUCUUGCCUAAGAGGAAACUUUUUGUUACAGAGAGCAUUUUUGUUGUGACUGGCUGUUACGUGUGGAUAAUCUUUCUCCGAUUGACGACAUCUGGCAGAAUGUAGCUCGGGAGCAUAAAGACCUAGCAGACAGGACAUGAGUCAGAAAAAGGAAAAAGUGUUGCUGAUGUGCUCCUUAGCAGCUGACGUCAAAUUGGCGCUUGUCUCUCAUGGAGUCAUACUGUUUGGCGGAGUAGGCAUAUCCAAGCAACCUAAAUGGAUCCUUGCUGUUCAACAGAAGAUGUUGCAAGACCAGAUCCCAUCAUUGGUUCUAGAGUUAUUGCCACUUAAAGGGCCAGAAUUUGCUAUUUUUGUGCAUCAACAAUUUCUUGU